GGCAGAAACGAAAGAAAGAGGGAUGUUGGGGGAUUGGUGUAACCAAGAAGAGGUUUUGAAGCAUCCUUCGGUUGGAGGGUUUUUGACUCACAGUGGAUGGAACUCGACGAUGGAGAGUAUUGCGGGAGGAGUGGCUAUGAUAUCGUGGCCGUUCUUUGCAGAACAACAAACCAAUUGUCGUUAUUGUAAGACGGAGUGGGGAAAUGGGUUGGAGAUUGAUAGCAAUGUGAGGAGGGAGGACGUGGAGAAGCUUGUGAGGGAGUUGAUGGAAGGAGAAAAGGGUGAAGACAUGAAGAGAAAUGCGGAAGAGUGGAAGAGGAAGGCUGAAGAGGCUUGUAAGAAUGGUGGGUCAUCCCUAACAAAUUUAGAUCGAGUCAUUUCUGAAAUUCUUUCCAGCAAAGAGAAAUCAAAGCUUGAAUGUCAAAAUUAACGAUAUAAUUUCAUGUAAGCAUGGCUAGUAACAACGCUCAUGCCGUCUGGUCAAAUAGUUAAGCAUAUUAAUUUUCAUAAAUCUAAACGAAGAAACUUUUGUCUUCUUUGGCUUUUCCUAUUACUGAUGUGUUUGAUUUAUAUUGGUAUUGUUAUGGUUUCUUUAAUAUAAAUAAGUGGUGUUCAUUGGGAUGUGUGCCAAUGUGUUGUUGAAUAAUAUUGUAGAUCUCAAAGAAGGUUGAUGUCCAAUCUUAAUCUGUUAAAGUCAAUGAACUAUUUGAAAAAAGAUACAAUUAAGUAAAUUCUAACAAAGUGUCAUACAAAUUUGUAUAUAGACAUAUAAAUAAAUAUUUUGUCAUUGUUGCUGCAUUUAAAUUAUCACUUUGCUCAAAUUUGAUUCUAUAUAUCUUUUUUUCAUUUCGUUAAUCACAUAUGCAUGUCUCACUUUUAUAAAUGUAAAUUUUUUUUUAGUAAAUUUUCUGAUUUCGAGGAUAGUAAGUUGUGCAAGGUUUAUUACCAAAUUAGUAAAUAUUUGGUUUAAAAAAGAAUACAAAUUUUGCAUUUAAAAAAUUAAAUUUAAAAUCAGAUCAACAACCUCCUCUGAAAUUAGUUUUCAAAAAUAGAUCAACUCAAUCCAUAAACUUUUCAACAUGAAAAAAAUAAAACAUAACCAAGAUUAGAAUAAGAUCACAUACACGUGGUGUGAUCGAUCCUAUUCAUCGGCGUUAUUUAAAAAUAAAAAGAAAAAAGUAGUAAUCAAAUCAAAUUUCUAAACUAAUGAAAUACUCACAACACAAAAGAUCAGUGACAUGUGGUAUACUCACAACACAAAAGAUCAGUGACAUGUGGUAUCCAUCACUUCUGCUUUCUCUAACCUAUGAAAAGUUUAUGAAAGUAAAGACAACACAAUUUAUAUACAACUCCAAUUUCCCUUUCUCUAUCUAACUUUAUUUCCCUUUCCCUAUCUAACUUUUUCUUUAUUUUUCUUUUUAACGGUAUCUGUCUAGUUGGUAGGUGCAUCCAAGCAUUUUUACAAGAUGGUAUCGUUUUAGCACCUUCAUUAUUUUCUAUAAUGAUUUUAUUCAUUGAAGCACAAGGUACAUGAUGAUAAAACAAAAGGACUAGCGAUAAGCCAAAAGAAAGAAAGAUUCCUUUCUCUACCAAACUUUCCAUGAAUUGACAAGUCAAAUUUUAAUAAGUUUUUUUUCAAUUUUCGUGGUCAAUAUAUUAAUAUAUCAAAAAUUUUACGAUAAAAUAUUUUGUUAUAUUAAAAAAUAAUGUGCUUAAUUUGUGGUGGUUACAUAUCUAAGAAUUAAUUUUUUGCAGAGUUUUUUUUUUUUUUUAUAUAUAUUCAAAUGUUGUGGAUCAAACGGGUUGUCUUGUAAGAUUAGUAAAGAUGCACGUAAGCUGACUCGGAUUAAUUAAGUGAACAAAAAAAAAAUGUCUCUAUAUAAUUUAUUAUCAACAAUAGCUACCACACUCUUACUCAAUCACGAUUCAUAUUAUAUAAGAGAAAAAUGAUGUUGUUAGGGAAAGAAGUACUCCAUGAAAUGUUUAAAUACUAUUUUUCAUCUCUCAAUUUUGGUCCAUCAACUCUAUUCAUUUUCUGAAUUUCAAAAAUUAUAAGAAGACUAUUGUUUUUAUUAUUUAUAGAGGAUUUGAUCUAAAAUUUAACUUAGCUUUCUGAAAUUAGGAUGUGAAUUUUUCCUAAUUUCAAACUAGCUAGAUCUUAUCUAUUUUAAUUCUUAGCUUUAUUCUAUGGAGCCAAAAUUCACCCAUAACAUUAACUUCUACACCAAAGUAUUAUUUCAAAGAUGAUACCUAUCCUAGUCUCGUGCAGUGAUUCAAAUUUAAAAGUAUUGUUCUAGCCUUUUCGUUAUACGACGUAUACAAACUUUAUCAAACUAGCAGUAACUAAAUCGAACUUGGCUUCUCCAACAUCAUUUUCAGAUCUUUGGCCAUAUCUCUUCAAUAUCUAAUCAAGUCCUUUUUUCUUCUUUUUGAAGACCCAGUUAGGUAAUUGUCUCUUGAUGCUCAUAAUUUAUGUUAUAUAACCUUUUUUAUUGCAACAGAUUAAACAUAUGAGCUUAGAUCUUUUAUAGUUUAGGGGUAGCCCCUAGAGCCCCUGAUAAUUAUGAACUCAUAAUGCAUAUGAAACACACAUGUUAUCAAACAAUUGUAAGGCUGUUAAAGCAACAUUAAACCUCAAACCCCUUCCACAUAUUAUGUUUGUAGAAUAAUAAUGAAAAGAGACGUACUGCUAUAUCUAAUUAACUUCAAUAAUGUUAACAGUUUGUGGAAAGAAAAGUAUAGGUUGAAAGAAAAAGACACAUAUUUUUCUAUUCUCAGAAUUUAAAUUCAAAAAUGCUAUAUCCAAUUAUAUAUAUAUUUGCAAAGCAUGGUAAAAAAUUAUCAGAAAUGUGUUUAAUUAAAAAGAACAGAAAACAAAAUGUAAACACUUGUUCCAACUUGUCACAUUUUUCUUCUACUUUAUUAUUGCUUUCUACUCUAGACCUAAGCAAAGUUUGAAAGCUAAAACAAAUAGUUUUAAAAAUUUGUUUUGUGUUUUCAAAUUUGGUGUAAAAGUCCAACUAUCUUACUUAAAGAAAUAUGAAAACAUGAUAUGAAUUUAGAAUAAACAAACAUAAUUUUUUAAAUAAAAACUAAAUAGUUAUUAAACAAUUUUAAAAUUGAAAUAGUUAGUUUAAAAUUAUUAUUUAAAUUAACAAUAAAGAUUCCUAAAAUUAUUGCUAGAUUAUUUAACUCGACUCAUCACUUACUUUGUGAAAGAAAAUAUGAGUUUAACAACUCAUUAUAAAAAAAUGUUUCUAUUGUAUUGAAAUGGUUAUAAAUUUUUUUAUUGAUGGUCGAAAUUGGCAAGUAGCGAUUGAUAAUAGUGUCAAAAGUGGCAAUAAUCAGAGAUCAUCGAAGAUGGUGGUAGAAAGUUGGCUACUUCUCGAUGACACACAAUUGUCAGAGGUGGGUGGCCAAGAUCAUCAAAGAUUCGUUAACAAUAAUUGACCCAUUGGUAGUGACUAGAGUUGUUGCUCAUAUAAAUUAGAGAAAAAGAUAAUCACUAAACACUCAAAAUAAUUUUUUAAAAGGUUGAUUUCAAAUAUUAGUCCUAAACCAAGUUUGAGUGCAUCAACUUAACCAAAAUAUUUUUUUUUAUAAAUUUUCAUUUAUUUCAAAAUUCAUAUUAAAUGGUUCUCAAACACAUGGAUUUAUCUCAAAAACAUCUUUUAAAACAAGUUAAUUAAAGGUAUUUCAAACAUAGAGAAAUUCAAUCAAUUUCAAUAGAUCAAACAAACAUGUACAACUUUACCAAUCAAAUCAAUGGAAGAGUCCAUGAGCAUCUUAUCAAACAUAUUAUAAGAUUAGACUUAAUCGUAGAAAAUAAAGCUUAAUCUUUAAUGAUUAGAAAAGUCCAAUAUAUUGAAUUCAAUAGAAUUUGAUACAUAGAGUUAUGGGUCCGUUCGAUUUACUUGAAAAAAAAAAGAACUUUUUAAAGAGUUCUUUUUGUUAAAACACAACUAAAAUAAAGUAGCAAACUUACCUCUUUCAAUUAAUGUAUAGAAACCAUAUACUAAAAAAUAUUUUACUAAUUUUCAUUAUCGUAGAAGACCUACUACAAAAUAUUAUGUUUAGGAACAAAUUUAUUAAGGGGUUAGCGUCAAUAGCAGCGUACGUGUCUCUUUACAUUAUUGUUUUUUGUAUUUUAAUAUUAAUUUUGAAGUGUCAUAUUUUAAAUGUUCUGGUGUAGUGGUUGUGCACCACUUUAUAUAUACAUAGAGGGUUCAAAUUUUGCACAACUACUUUUACAAAAUACAUUUUAUUCUAAACAUAAACAAUUUUUCUUUCCCCUCCAAAGACUCCAAAAUGUCAAUUUAUUGACAGAAUUGAAUAGCGUCAUAAAAAAUAAUUUAAAAAAAAAAAGGGAAUGAAAACCUAACUUAUUUUCUAACCUCCUUUGUUAUUUAACAAAUAUUUUUUAAAAAAUGUAUUAAACUUCUAUUCUCUCAACAACAUUCGAUGAAAGAGAUAUUUUAUUUUAGGUAAUUUUUAAAUUUAUAUUAACAUUAUAAAAAAUCAUGUGAAAGUUGUACAAAAUUGUACAGUUUUUUCUUUAUUAUUACAAAUUGAGUGAAGGUUGAUCAUCAGUGAAAUGUGAAAUUUUUUUAGUGUAUUUAUUAUAUAGUGUCGAGUGUCCUUGUAUAAAAUUUCUUGAUCCGUAAGGAUAUACUAAUAGUUAGUCUUCUACGAUGGUUGCUGUCAGAAUUGGUGGUGGUUUCUAGAUAUGGUUGUUGAUGGUAGCCGGUGUUGGCUGACAGAGAGCAGUAUAGCCACAAAAACAAAGUAAAACUCAAAGGAAUUUCCUGCUGGAGUUUAUUAUUAUGACAAACUGGUCAAUUUAGCAUUAUUAUCUUAGCAUUCCUGUUGAGGAUAGCCUUAGUGAUUGAUUGGUAUGCAUUUCAUCUUCUCAUUUCAAACUAUCAAUCAAUUAAUUAACAUUUUCUAAUUAAGUUGGCUAAGCAUGAGAUACAAGUAAAAUCAAAAUAGUUACUAGCAAGAAGGAACUCCAACAAGAACCAACCCAGAUUCUCCUUUAUUCUCACAUCGUUUACAUUUACAUCUAAUGCAAAUUUUAUUUUUCAUGCCAUUUUAGUUCCUUACAAGCUUCAAUAAACCCCCCCUCAGGUUAUCUUGGAGCAUGAAUCGAGAAUUUGAAUUGAGAAAAAAAAAAUUAUGUGGAUUCGAUCUGUACUACCACUACUACAAAAGCAAAAAGGCAAGGAAAAUAAUACUAAAAAUGUACAAACAAUUGUAAAAGACAAUCAUCAUCUUGGACCAGACAACCACAUCAGGAGCAAAAUGAGAAAUGGAAACAAUAAACUGGGGAGAUCUACUCCGGUGGUAAGAAUGAACCAUAUUAUUGAAGUUUUGGCGUGAGCUCUCUUCUUUCUGCCAUUCCUGCCAUCUUUCAGCUAAACCAUCGCCUUCCAGCAUUUGCAACACCUCCGACAUUUUCGGUAGUUCCACCGGGGAGCUUUGCGUGCAAAGCACAGCAGCAACUUGAAUUACCUGCUCCAGUUCUUCCUCUAUGUAAUUACCCAGGAGAUGGGGAUCGUCAACCAACGUUGCCAGUUUCUUAUGAUUUAGAAGUCCUUUUACCUUUAGUUUUGAGUUCAUAUCACAGCCAACUUGUAUUAUGCAAGUGUUUGUUUAUUACUAGGAAGAUCAAAAUACCACGGAUCAACAAGAAAAAACAUGUAAAAAUGUACUGAGUAACACUAAAACUCUAUCAGAGAUACUGAUGAGAAUACAAGAGGAUCAAUUGAAAGUAAGCUUGUGGGAGAAAUUGCAAAACAAGUCCUCAAGAAUAAGAGAUAUUACAAUCUCAUUGACAAAACACACUCUCAGCAAACUGUAAAGUUCGGGAGAUUUUAGAAUCUUGUUGUUUCAAUAGAAUAUCGCCAUGAGGCCUUUUACACAUCAUCCAUGUCUUUGAUUGAAUGAGAAAAGGCUGAGUAAGGCAGCCAUAUAACACCCAAAUUCACAGUUAUUCUAAACGUAUUUGUGAGAAUCCUAUCUAGUUAGAGGUAUAUAGGUAAGAUUAGUAUAUGAUAUUAAUAAAAUGUAUUGUGGGUCAUUAGGUAUUCAUCUGUUGGAUAUAAAUAGUGGGAGUUGUGGACCAUAGAACAUGUAGAUGAUUUUGGUGAAAGUUUCCAAUGGGAGACUUCGGGAGAGAGAUAUCCCUCUCGAAAGGCUACUAGUAUAUUGCCUUUUUUUUUUAAUAUUGCAAUAUAUUGCUAUCUUUUGUAUUCUUUUUGUAGAGUUUUGUCGUUAGGUUGGUAUUUUAUUCUAAAAAGAGAUUUGAUUCUGUAUAUUAAUGUAAAUAAGGUUUAGUUAUUUUGGGUAAUGAUAUUAAUGUAAAUAAAGUAGGUUUAGUUUAUUUGGGUAACUAACCUUGUAUAAAUACACUCCCUUUGAUCAAUCAAAUAGAUAAAGAGAAUAUUCUUCAGAAUAUACUUUCACAUGGUAUCAGAGCUAGGGUUUUUCAUCUUAGCCGCCGCCGCCGCCGUCGCCGCACACCCGUGAAAGUCUCCGUCUCCGUCUCCGUCGCCGUCGCCGCCCACUCGCAGCCGUUCCGUCAUCGUCAUCCUCAUCGCGCCGCAGACAGCUUCGAUCUGUCUCCAGCCCUUCCGCGCGCCUUGCAGACAGCUCCGAUCUGUCUCCAGCCACAACAUCGGCGUCGCGCCGAUCAGCAGCAGCCUCGGCAUCGCAGCAGCCUCGGCAUCGCAACAUCGGCCGUUUCCGCUCCGAUUCAUCUCCAUCCGCGAGGCAGCCGCAUCGUUUCCGCUCCGAUUCGUCUCCAUCCGCGAGGCAGCCGUACGCGUCACCUUCCGAUUCGUCUCCAUCCGCGAGGCAGCCGUACGCGUCACCUUGCGGCCGCCGUCCAGAUCUGUACCGCAAAACCUUCCGCCGCUGCCGCCAUUGCUCUUCCGCCGCUGUCCAGCCGUCUCAGCCGGAUCUGCCUCCGUUGGAAACCCUAUCUUUCCAAGUUUCUUUGAUUUCAUUUUUCGCAGAUCUAGCUCCGUCUUCCACUCUGUCGAUGUUUCGAAGUUCGUAGAUCGAUAGAUCUUUUGUAGAUCUACACGCUGAUCGUGGUUUCUUGUCGAUUCGGUCUCUGGUGACAGAUCUGCACGGUUCAACACCAGAUCUGACGAAUCCUUCAGCCGUUUGUCUUCAAGUUUUUUUUGUUGUUUGUCUCCGUUCCCAGCCGUGCACCCCUGAAUCCAGUCACGGCCGAAAAUCCGCAUUGUUAACCCCAAAUCAAAAUGGAGAGAGACCAUAUCUUUAGACCCAUUUCUACCAUACUUGAUGGUACAAAUUAUAUCACAUGGGCAAAUCAAAUGAAAAGUUUUCUUAUUGGAAGAAAACUAUGGCGCAUUGUAACUGGCGACAUCACCAAACCAACUGCAAAGGAAGGGGAUAACACAUUCAUUGAACGUCUCGAAGAUUGGGACAGUAAAAAUCAUCAAAUUAUCACCUGGCUUGGUAACACCUCUAUUCCCGCUAUACAUGCACAGUUUGAUGCCUUUCAUGAUGCUAAAAUAUUAUGGGAUUUUUUGUCUACACGCUUCAAGUCUAUUGGUUUAGCCCAUUAUUACCAACUGCACAGUACACUUGUAAAUCUAAAUCAAGAUUCUGGUCAGUCUGUUAAUGAAUAUUUGGCAGUUCUUCAACCCAUUUGGACUCAACUUGACCAAGCGAACAUCAGCAAAGAUCAUCUUCGCCUUAUUAAAGUCCUUAUGGGAUUACGUCCAGAAUAUGAAUCUGUUAGAGCUGCUUUACUACACCGGAAUCCCUUACCCUCAUUAGAUGCAGCUAUUCAAGAAAUUCUGUUUGAAGAAAAGCGUCUUGGCAUCAACUCUACUAAACAAUCUGAUGUUGUCCUUGCUAGCACAUACACUCCCAACAGAGCCGCAAAUAUGUUUUGUAAGAAUUGUAAGCUCUCUGGUCACAAAUUUAGUAACUGUCCUAAAAUAGAGUGCAGGUACUGCCAUAAACAUGGCCACAUUCUGGAUAACUGCCCUACCAGACCACCCCGACCUCCUAGCACUUCCACAAAAGAGAAAAUUUUUACCAAACAUGGUUCCUCAUCUGUUGUUGCUGCGACCUCGGAUGAUUCAUCCCCAUUCAGAUAAGUGAUCUUCAGAGCUUAUUGAAUCAACUAAUUUCAUCAUCAUCCGCUCUGGCUGUUUCAUCAGGUAAUCGAUGGCUUCUUGAUUCUGCCUGUUGUAAUCAUAUGACCUCUGACUCUUCUCUUAUGUCUACGUCUAGCCCUACAAAAUCUUUACCUCCUAUUUAUGCUGCUGAUGGUAAUUGUAUGAACAUCUCUCAUACUGGUACCAUUGAUACUCCCAGUGUACAUCUUCCCAUACUUACUGUGUUCCUAACCUGACCUUUAAUCUAGUGUCUGUUGGUCAAUUAUGUGAUCUGGGCUUAAAUGUUUCAUUUUCUCCCAAUGGUUGUCAGGUUCAGGAUCCGCAGACGGGACAGACGAUUGGAACGGGUCGCAAAGUGGGAAGAUUGUUUGAGCUCACAUCACUUCGGAUUUCAUCUCCUUCUUCCAUCUCUGCUUCGGUCACUGAUUCUGACACAUAUCAGUGGCAUCUUCGUCUUGGUCAUGCUUCCUCUGAAAAACUUCGUCAUUUAAUUUCUGUUAACAAUUUGACUAAUCUUACUAAAUUUGUUCCUUUUAAUUGUUUGAAUUGCAAACUUGCUAAACAACCUGCCUUAUCUUUUUCUCAAUCCAUCUCUAAUUGUGAUAAACCUUUUGAUUAGUGCAUUCUGAUAUUUGGGGUCCUGCCCCAAUUACUACUGUUCAUGGUUAUCGCUACUAUGUUUUAUUCAUUGAUGACUACUCUCGAUUUACAUGGAUUUACUUUCUAAAACAUCGUUCUGAAUUAUCUCGCACAUAUAUUGAGUUUGCUAACAUGAUUCGCACUCAAUUUUCCUCUCCCAUCAAAAUUCUUCGCACUGAUAAUGCUUUGGAAUAUAAAGAUUCCAUCCUUCUUUCUUUUCUUUCCCAACAGGGCACUAUUGUUCAGCGCUCUUGCCCUCAUACCUCUCAACAAAAUGGACGUGCUGAGCGCAAACAUCGUCACAUUCUUGACUCAGUACGUGCCCUCCUUCUUUCUGCCUCUUGUCCAGAAAAAUUCUGGGGUGAAGCUGCCCUUACAUCAGUAUAUACAAUCAAUCGUCUCCCUUCCUCUGUCCUUCAAAAUACCUCUCCGUUCGAAAAACUAUAUGGUAUUUCUCCCGACUAUUCUAAACUCAAAGUUUUUGGUAGUGCCUGCUUCGUUCUGUUACAUCCUCAUGAACACAAUAAACUUGAACCACGUGCCCGUCUCUGUUGCUUCCUUGGCUAUGGCACCGAACACAAAGGAUUUCGUUGUUGGGACCCUCUUUCCAACCGACUCCGGAUAUCUCGGCAUGUCACUUUUUGGGAACACACUAUGUUCUCUCGUUUGUCCUCCUUCCACACCUCCUUCUCUAGUCCUCAAUCUUUCUUUACAAACACAUCUGUUGACCUUUUUCCUCUCUCUGAACCCACCUUGGAUACUGAGCUUGCACAAUCUUCACCUGCUACUGCAAAUCUGGAUCCACCGUCUGUCUCCGAUGAUGUUCCUGAAUCGCCACCUGCUACUCCUCUUCGUCGCUCUACCAGGGUAAGAGAACCUCCCCCUCAUCUCACUGAUUACCAUUGUUUUUCUACCAUUGUUUCCCUUGUUGAACCCACCUCUUAUCAAGAGGCCAGUAUUAACCCAGUAUGGCAGAAAGCAAUGGAUGAAGAAUUACAGGCUCUUGAAAAGACGCACACUUGGGACUAUGUUGAUUUACCUCCCGGUAAAAGACCCAUUGGUUGCAAAUGGAUUUACAAAAUCAAAACUCACUCUGAUGGAACUAUUGAACGUUAUAAAGCUCGGCUUGUUGCAAAAGGAUACUCACAAGAAUAUGGGAUAGACUAUGAAGAAACAUUUGCCCCUGUUGCCCGGAUGACAUCUGUUCGCAGCUUGUUAGCUGUUGCUGCUGCCAAACAGUGGCCUCUUUUUCAGAUGGAUGUCAAAAAUGCAUUUCUUCACGGCAACCUAUCUGAAGAAGUGUAUAUGAAGCCACCUCAGGGAACUUCUCCUCCUCCCAACAAGGUGUGUCUCCUUCGUCGCGCUCUAUACGGUCUAAAACAGGCUCCACGAGCUUGGUUUGCCACGUUUAGCUCCACCAUUACUCAACUUGGAUUUACCUCCAGCUCUCACGACAAUGCCCUUUUUACACGACAGACAACUCAUGGUAUUGUUCUUCUCCUUCUUUAUGUUGAUGAUAUGAUUAUUACUGGUAAUGAUCAACAGGCCAUAUCCGACCUACAACAAUAUCUUGGUCAACAUUUUGAGAUGAAAGACCUUGGAUCUCUCAAUUACUUUCUCGGUCUUGAAGUCUCUCACCGUUCAGAUGGUUAUCUGUUAUCUCAAGCGAAAUAUGCAUCUGAUCUAAUAGCACGCUCAGGAAUUACAGACUCCACCACAUCUUCAACACCGUUAGAUCCUCAUGUCCAUCUAACUCCGUUUGAUGGUGUUCCUCUUGACGAUGCAAGCUUGUAUCGGCAACUUGUUGGCAGUCUUAUAUACCUAACAGUAACUCGCCCAGAUAUUGCAUAUGCUGUUCAUAUUGUCAGUCAAUUUAUGGCUGCUCCUCGAACAAUUCAUUUCACUGCUGUUCUACGCAUACUUCGCUAUGUCAAAGGCACCUUGGGACAUGGUCUUCAAUUCUCAUCUCAGUCUUCCCUUGUGUUGUCGGGAUAUUCUGAUGCUGAUUGGGCGGGGGAUCCUACUGAUCGACGAUCCACUACAGGAUACUGUUUUUACUUAGGUGAUUCUCUCAUCUCAUGGCGUAGUAAGAAAAAAGUGUUAUAUCUCGUUCCAGUACGGAAUCUGAAUAUCGUGCUCUGGCUGAUGCUACAGCUGAACUUAUAUGGCUUCGGUGGCUCCUUGCCGAUAUGAGUGUCCCUCAACAGGGUCCUACCCUCCUCCAUUGUGACAAUCGUAGUGCCAUUCAGAUUGCUCACAAUGAUGUGUUUCAUGAACGUACAAAACACAUUGAAAAUGACUGUCACUUUGUUCGUCACCACCUCUUAAGCAACACCCUCCUCUUACGUUCUGUUUCUACUAUUGAACAACCUGCGGAUAUCUUCACCAAAGCCUUGCCAUCUAAUCGAUUUUGUCACUUACUUACCAAACUCAAGUUGAUCGCUACUCUACCACCUUGAGUUUGAGGGAGGGUAUUAAUGUAAAUAAGGUUUAGUUAUUUUGGGUAAUGAUAUUAAUGUAAAUAAAGUAGGUUUAGUUUAUUUGGGUAACUAACCUUGUAUAAAUACACUCCCUUUGAUCAAUCAAAUAGAUAAAGAGAAUAUUCUUCAGAAUAUACUUUCACACUGUAAUUAGUUGUCUUAUUAUGUAAGAUGAAUUCAAUGGCCAGAGAACCAUCCACUCCAAUUCCCCACUCUAAGCCUGUGUCAAUAAAGAGAUUUGAUUAUGUAAUUAGUUGUGUUAUUAAUAUUGCCUUGAAUGGAAGAUAUGAACUCUUGUUGUAACCUUCACAAAUUUAUUCUUUUCAUCACAAAUUUAUUCUUUCCCUGUAUGUAACUUAUUCACAUUUGUAUAUAAAUAUUCAUUAAGGUUUGUGUAUAAAUAUUCAUUAACUUAUUUUCUCCUUUGAUUAAGGUUUUAGUUUGAUCUCUACGGUAUCAGAGCUACUCUUGUGUGCUAAUAGAAAAACUUGUCUCACAAAGCUGAAAAUUUUUUCUAUGGCCAUGGAAGAAAAAGCUCCACAAUUCAAUCUUUUCAUCGGACAACUAGUCUCAUUUCAAUCAAACUCAACGAUGAAAAUUAUCCCUUAUGGAAAUCCCAAGUUGCUACCAUUAAUUAAGAGUAUGGGUCUUGAACACCAUAUCUCACAAAGGAAAAGAAACAUGACGAUGAAGCUGCCAGCGAACAAGGAAGAAAGCUCCAAAGAUGAUCAUAUACUCCCACAGUUUGGAUCAGAAAUGAUGAGCUCCUUAUCUCUUGGCUUGCUGGGGAUAAUCUCAGAAGAUGUUUUGAACAUGAAAACAACUCAACCCGCCCCUUCCCCCAAUUAAUUACCUCAGCUUAAAAAUAAUUUACUUAAGAGAUUUUCGUGCUCCUUGAGUUCGACCGAGACUUUAUUACCACUAGAACUACCUCUUGGUGUGUAAUUAGGUAAAUUAUUUGAUUCGGAUUUGUUACGCUGAUGAAAUCUGCUCGAUCACACCACAUAUAUGUGGCCUUAUUCUAAUCUUGAUUAUGUUUUAUCUUUUUCAUGUUGAAAAAUUCAUGGAUUGAGUUCAUCUGUCUUUGAAAACUGAUUUUAGAAUAUGUUGUUCAUCCAUUUUGAUUUUGAAUUUAAUUUUUUAAACGUGGAAUUGAUAUUCAAGUUUAUAAGAAUAGACUUAUUUGAUAAUAAAAUUUAUAAUUUUACCUUUUUAGUCUCUAUGUUUUUAAAAGUAAGUUUAACCGGUCAUAAAAGUAUUUUUUAUUUGAUUUUUCAAAAAUAAUUAUUUGAUAUUUAAAAAUAGAAAAAAAUUGUUUUAAAGAGAAAGAGCAUUUUAGAAAAUAACAAAAUAAAUUAAAAUAUUUACAAACUAUAACAAGAUUUUUGAAUUCUAUCAAUGAUAGUCCACAAAUAGAAGAAUAUCACUGGCGAUUAAAUGUUUGUUAUUGAUAAAAUAUGAAGUUUUGCUAUAGCUUUUAAAUAUUUUGUCAAUUUUGUUAUUCUUUACAAUUCUCCUUUGGAGAAUAUGAUUUUUAGAAAUUAUUCUUCUAAUCUACUCAUUUUUUAAAACUCAAAAACCAAAUGUGUCUGCUCUUUAAAACUUGGGACUUAAAAUAUACUUUUUCCAAAUAAAUAUGAUUGAAUGCAUUGUGUUGUUUUUAAAUAUUGCAAAAUAAAUCAAAAUAUAAAAAAUUCAUUGUCUAGAGCAAACUAAGCUCUUGUUGGCUUUACUAUAAUAUUAUAAAAUAAGGUUAUAAUAUAUUUAAAAUUUUGACGUUAAACGUGUACGUAUAGAUUAAUUAAUAAUUGGUUAUAGGUAAAAUAAAUAAACAAAUUAUAUGGUACUUGAACUUUGAAGAAAGUAACAAUUAAUUUGUGAUUGAAAUUUAAUAAGUAAACAAUUUAGUCUUUAUAUUUUCAAAUUUGCAACACUUUGGUCAUUGUACUUCAUAAUUAACCUAGUUUAUAUUCAACUUAAUAUUUUAAUUGAUACUACAACUACUUAAAUAUACUAUCAAACACAUUUAAGAUACCAAGAAGAACUUACCCCAACCGUAAUUAAUUGAUAUGAUCUCAUCCAUUUCUACGAUUAUUGUAUUAAAAAAAAUACACUGAAAUGAAUAGUAAAGAAUAGAAUUUAAUAAUGGAAACAUGUCCCAAACACACACACUAACCCUACCAAAUCUCUUACCAAUUGACCACAAAUAAAGGCAUAUAUAUUUACAUGUUUAUAUACAUUUGAUUUUGGUCAUAAAUUUCAAUUUUGCAUUUUGUUCAUUUAUUAAAUUUUGCAAUGACCACGAACACUUAUAAUGCAUGUAAGUUAAAGCGACACUUGCAAAAAUGACAAAAUAAAUUAUAAUAAUUAAGUUCAUAGUACACACUUUAUUAUUUGUGAAAAUGACAAAAACGAAAUCUAGCUAACCCACAUAUCAAUAGAUAGAAUGUCACAAGUGUCAUCGUUACUAAUAUACGUUUGAUACACCUUAUACACGUCUAAUACACUUAAUACACCAUUUGAUAAACCUGAUACACUUGAUGCACCUGAUACUUUUUUAUACACUCGAUACAUUUUGAUACACAUUUGAAACAUUACUAAUAUAUGUUUGAUAUACAUGAUACACUGCAUAUACAUUUAAUAUUCUUCACUUAUACAAUUGAUUGAUUAAAUGCACCUGAUAUGCUUGGAGUCCUACUUAUAUCCUUAAUAUACUAUUGAUAUACACUUGUAAAUUUGGUUCAUAUACUUGAUAAUGAUUCACUUUAUUGAUAUGCUUUAACAAUAUAUUGUUGUUAUACUUGAUAAUGAUACACAAAGUUACACAAUUCAUAUACUUAAUAAUAUUAUAAUGAACUGCAUAAAAUUUAAAAAAACAAAAAAUUACGUAAUAUUAUAAUGAACUAAUACAUAUAAUAUAAGUUCAAACUAAGACAAAGUAAAACAAAAAAAAAUUAAUAUAAAAAAAUAAAACAAAAUAAUUUAGAAAGAAUAAAUAAUUUUUCUAGUAUAAGAAUAAACAAAUAAUUAUGGCCUUAAAAAAUGAAAGAAUAAAUAAUUAAGGAGUAGAGCAUUAAAAAAAAGAAGAUAAAUAAGUUAUUGAAUGGUAGUUUAGGAAUAAUAACAAAUUUACGAUGGAAAAGUGAGAAUUUUGUCAUAUUUACAAAAUUUUAAAAUAAUGUGCUAUAAUUGCUAUAUCAUAUUCUCAAACUGCUAUCCUAAUUUAAAAGACCAAAAACUUACGUAAUUGAUACAUUUAACAUAUAUAUAUAUAUAUAAUUAAAAAAUAAGUUAAUAAACAAAAUUUAAAAAUAUUUAUUAUUAACACUAUCUUCACGUUAAUGAAUACAAAAUGAUUCAUUUUCUAGGAUUGAAUAUUUUAUUAAAUACCGAUUUACGCAUGUUAAUUAGAUUCAAAGGCUUCCCAAUAUCUAGUUAAUUAAUGUUUGUAAAAGUUUCAUUUUCUUAUUAAAAAAUAAAUUAAUUAAUACAACUAAAUUUGAUUCAUUUUUAUAAAAAUAAUAAAACACCCAAAUAUUUACGAUUCAUGUAACAAAAUAAAAAAGUCCAUUAGAUUGAUUAAUUUUUUUUAAUUUUCUAGGUUUGUCCUUAGUGUUUUUUAAUUUCUUCAUUAUUCCUAAUUUCCAAUUUUUUUCUUCUCAUCUUUUCCAAUUUUUCUUUGAUAUUUUUUUAAUUCAUUAUCUUUGUUUUCAAUCCAUAAUCAAUCUUGUAAUUUUUUUUAAAAUUGUUAUUUGGUUAAAGAUGGUGUACGUAAUUUCUUGAACAAAAAUUGUUGAGAUCAAAUCAAUUAGUUUAGAUUUGGGUACACGAUCAAGUAUCAAUUCUAUAAAAUUGUAAAAGAUCUUGAAAAAAAAUCUUUGGGAGGAUGGUACAAAAAUGGUUGGGAUAUACCAAUAUAAAAAAUCUUGUUUCACGAUCUUCAACCAAGACCGUUUAGAUUUUAGGUAUCAUAAUCGUUUAGAUUUAGAUCUAUACAGUAUAUUUGGCAUUUUUGUAUUUUCAUUACAAACCUAUGGACUUUUUUUCGUUUUCAAAAUUAUUUUAUACACCAUAAAUAUUGGAUCAAUUUCUUAUAUUCUUAAAAAAAAAUCCCUCCAAAUUAUUUAUUUCUAAACUUCAAAGUGUUUGGGAUAUGUGCCACUAACCUUCAAAUUUUAAAAAAUAAAAAUGAAUUUUUUUUAUUAAAAUAAUUGGUUAUUUUUUAUAAUAAUUGGAAUUAAACAUAUGAUCAAUUUUCUUUUUUUUAAAAGAAAAAUCUACCCUCUCUCUUCCACUUUUUUUUUCUUUUUGUUUUCUUCUCCAACACAUGUGGAUCUAUAAAUAAAUAAAUAAAUAAAUAAAUAAAGCAAUGAAGGAGAAGAUCUUGCUAUUCACAAUAAUAAAUAAUAUUAAUAGAAUAUUAAAAUAUAGCUUCAUUAUUCAUAUAAGGCCACAAAGAAAGAAGUCAUAAUUAAAUGUCACAUGCUAUCCUAUGGUAAAUUUCGAAGCAUUUUCAUUUUUUUUACUAUUAUUGCAUAAAAAUAAAAAUAAAAUUGAAACGAAAAUGCCAACAAACUAUUCUUGCCAUCACGUUACAUAUAUAUAAAUAUACACACAUACAUGUCGACUUUAGAUCUAGUUUCCAUUUUAGUCUCAGUUUCAAGUUUGGUUUCAAUUUAGUUACUAUAUUUAUAUAAUUAUUUUAUUUAUAUCAUCAGUGUAAAAACAUCUAAAUUUUUAAAAUUUUAAAAAGUGAAAAAAGCGUUCAAAGAUACAUUUAUAGUGGUUAGUUUUGAGAAAAAUCGUUAAACUGUAAUUUCUCUAAACUGCAGUGCUUUUACUUGACUUUACUUUUUUGUUCGUUGUUGUUUUUUGGACUUAUCUCUAGACUUUCUUUUGGAUCAUCAUGUUAAUUUCUUGCACUUCAACAAAUGAAUAUAUUUGAUAGGAAUGAUGAGUGUGCUAAAAGCCUCUUCAUCUAAUGUGAAUGAUUGGGUGCACCAAACUGACCCAAGUUAUAUAUUUUAUUUUUAAAAAACCCUAAACUAGUGAAUAAUCUCAUAAUGAUCCAUGAACUAAAAACGGUAAAAAAAUAUUCUCAUUGAUUAAAAAAAUUUCACUAAUUUUCUCACCAACAAAACUAUUCAAGUUAUAACAUAAAAUUCAAAAAAAAAAAAAUCUUACAAAAUUCUAAAAUAAAAUUUUUAUUUAAACAUACUAAAACAAUAACUAACUAGUUAAGCAAAAUCAAUGUAUUUAAUUAUUAAAACACUCUACUUUUCAAAAUACAUUUAAAGUUUCAAAAGUUUCAAAAAUUAUCUUAAACUUAAAGAAAAAAAGUUUAAAAAAAUACAUUUUAUGUUAUACAACACAAAUUGUUAAUAUUGUCUUACUUUUCUAUUUUUUAUGCAUUAAAAAUAAAGAGAAUCAAUGAAAACAUCAAGAGAUUUUAGAACGUGAAUCUUUCUACUUGACCAACGUCUAAGUAUAAUAUGGUAAAAAUUUUAGUGUAAAAAUGAAUUGACGAGAGUAUUCUUUCUCACUUCUUUUUAGCGCAAGGAUUAAUUAUAAAACUUUUUAAAAAUUCACAAUUAUUUUUAAAAUAAAAGUUUAAUAAUUUUCCUUCACAAUUCACCCUAAAAGUAUUUUUGAAUUCUCUCCCAAAGUUAGGAGUCGGGGUGGGUGUGGGUAAUGUGUUUUGUAAUGUAAUGCCUAGAAUUUUGAACCCAGUGGGGAGUGGGUGUUGAUAUUAAUUCUUUCUGUCUUGUCCUCUCUCAACUUCGAUGUGGAUUGACAAGUCUUCUGCUACACAAUGUUCUGUCAUUUAUAUAAAAAGUCUUCAUUCUAAUUCCCAUGUUUACAUAUUUCACCUCAAACUCCCUUUCCAAACACUUGUUUGGAGCUAUAUAUAUCAACUUCAUUGCUAUAAACAUCAUCAUCAAGAUGUUUGAAGGAAGGAUAAUUAUAGUAUUGUAAUAGUUUUAGUAUUAUGAUAGUAUGCAUUUGAAAGAUUAUGAUAGUUAAUAUAUAAUGUACAUCAAACCCAUAAAUUUAUUUUAUUAAAUAGUUUUAUUAAUUGUAUUCGCUCAAUAAAUUUAUGAGUCGUAAUGUUUCAUGUUUUUUUUCAUGUGUAUAUAUUGCACAUCGAAUUAAAGAAGCUUCAUGUUCAUAUCAAUCAUUUAAGUUGUGAUUUUGUGUUUGCAUUAAUCUAUUUUCUUUCAUGCAUACAUAUUUGUCAUUAAAUACAAUAUUUAUUCCAUAAAUUUGUUAUUAAAUCAUUAUUUUUCUAAGCAUAUUUUUAGAGUGAUUUUCAAAAGCGUUUGUCUAAUUGCUUCUAAUCUAAAUAUUGUUGUCACAUGAUCACAAAAAAUGAGUACAAAAAUCUAUAUUACAUAAGUAAAUAUUUUCAAACUUUGAAAAGAGUUUAAUGAGUCAACUUAAAAAAAAUUAAACAAAAUACAGGAAGUACUAAUUUUAAUUAAAAAACAAUAAAAUUCAAGAUAAUUUUCUAUAAUUUAGUUAGAAAAGAAAACAUUUAUUAGCUGAAAUUAAAAUAUUUGGAUAAGAUAAGUCAAAAUAAUUUAAUUUAAAAAAACUACUUAAUUAAACAUAUUCAAAAUAGAUAUUUGUUGAAGGUAAAUAAAACAAUAUGUCAUUAUAAUUUUUUUGUGCAAAAAAAAUCUUAUUAUAAAUUAAUUUAAUUGAAAAAGAAGAAAAAAAAGUGAUGAAUGAAAGGCUUUUUCAAUUUUUUUAUUUCUAUGAAAAAGAGUUGGGGGAUUAUGGAAAAAAGUUUGUAUGGGUAAAGGAUUAGGGGAAUUAAGAUAGGAGUUUGUUCGGGGGAUUAUGGGUAAAAUUGGGUGUUACAGAAACCCUAAAACUACAGUUUCCAUAACAUGAACUCCAAAUAAGAAGGAGUUAUCAUAAUCUACUCCAAAUUUCGCAGAUUGUGUUUAUAUUUUGUGAGAAAAACAUGGUGUGCACGUUACCUCAAUAAUAAUUUUCAUAUCAUUCCAAAUUCAACAUCUUUACAAUUAUUGAGAGAAUGGCUUAAUUUAGUGACCAUGUUUGGCUAGUGAAUGGAACAUAACCAUGAUAGGAAAAUUGACAAAAUAUUAAAGAAAAUGAGGGUAAUAUAUAAAUGUUAUAUGAAUAAUAAUAUGGAAAAGAAUUUGAGUCCAAUUAAUUUUACUUUAGUGCUAAUUGUCUUCCAAGAUAGUACAUAUUCACUUUCUCAUAAAAGCAGUACCUCAUCAACAAGAUUUAACAAACUAUACUCUAUGUGGAAAUAAAUCGAACUUGAACAAAAGUUACAAAAGGGAAAAAUGUCUAUAAGAGAAAGUCAUUAUGAAUUUUUUUUUUUUUUAAAGUUUGAAUAAGAUGAAUGUUUAUAGAAACAAUUCAUGGUCAUUUGGAUAAUCGUGUCACUUCUUUAAAUUGGUUAUUUUUUUAAAAGAGAUGUGCAUUCACGAAACAAUGCAAUUUUAUGCAAAUGGUCAUGUACCAUUUCUUUCAAUAAUAAAUUUUGUCUUUUAGUGAUUCUUUUCUAUCAACAAAAAUAUUUUUUUUUAUUUUUGAGAAAACCCAUGGUUAUAAAUAUAUAAACUAUGAUUUUUUUAAUGCAUUUUAGUGUGUAUUUAAUCAUUCUUAUAAAUUAACGAGUGAUAUUUGAGUGUAUUUUGAUAUGCAUAUCUAUCUUUGUACAACUUCUUCUAAUCACCCACAUAUCACAUAUCAAAAAAGUAAUGAUUGGACAAUUUGAGAUGCUAUCAAAUAAGUGUUUGUAAAUUUGAUUUAAAAAAAUCAAAAUCUAAUAGUAAACCAAAGUAGGCAUGAGAUUUAAGUCUAAAAUAAACAAUAUUAUGGGAUUAUAAAAACAGGUAAAAUAAACCAUUUGUUUUCCCAAUGAGUUUGAGCCUAUAAAAGAUAACCUAUACCAAACCCAAAACCCCAUCCCUCAUUUCUCUUCGAAACAAAUCAUUUCAUAGAAAUUAAGAAAUGGGCUCUCUUACCAAAGUAAACCAAGGAAAACACCAACCACAUGCAGUGUUCGUCCCAUACCCAUCUCAAGGCCACAUAAGUCCCAUGCUAAAGCUUGCAAAACUCUUUCACCACAAAGGCUUUCACAUAACUUUUGUCAACACAGAAUACAACCAUAGACGUCUCCUUAGAUCCUGAGGUCCCAACUCUUUGGAUGGCUUGCCUGACUUUCAUUUCAGAGCCAUUCCCGACGGCCUCCCACCGUCCAACGGCAACGCCACCCAACAUGUUCCUUCACUCUGCUAUUCCACUUCCCGCAAUUGUUUGGCUCCAUUCUGUAGCCUCAUUUCGGAGAUCAACUCGAGUGGAACUGUUCCACCCGUUUCCUGUAUUAUUGGCGAUGGGAUCAUGACUUUCACUGUUUUUGCUGCCCAGGAAUUUGGUAUUCCCACUGCUGCGUUUUGGACGGCUAGUGCUUGUGGGUGCCUUGGAUAUAUGCAGUAUGCUAAGCUUGUUGAACAGGGCUUGGUUCCUUUUAAAGGUAUAAAUUAACUUACAAUCUACAGCUCUUGUUCGUUAUCGUUUUUAUUAUUUUCUAUCUGUCCUUUUUUUUCGUCCACUGAUUAUUUAUGCUGUAGUGAUUAGCACUGUGCCGCAAACAUAUCCUAUCAAUGCUUUUGAAAUUUUGACAUAUAAUUCCUAUAAUUACAUCCGUAGUAGCUUUGAAGAUAUUUUUGGGUAGAUAUCUAUUGAUGUAAUAAUAAUCACUGAUGAACAUUAAUUUUAUGUUUUUGAAUUGUUUGAUCUAAAAAGGAGCAUAUAGCUUAGCUUGGAUUGGCUUUUAUCUCGUUUUUAGAUUUAAAAAAUGAUGCAAUUUUACCUUAUAAGUUCUAGAAUUAAUUUUGAUUUAGUUAAAAUAUUUUUAAAUCUUACAAUUCCAUCUCUCAGAUUUUAAUUUUGUUCUUGGUUUUCAAGAUUUAAACUUCAAACUUUGGUUUUUGACUGUAUAUUAAUGAGGUGUUAAAUGUUUAUUAAUUAGUAUUAAAAGUAAUUGUGAGGUGAAAAUUUUAAAUUGAUUUGUUCUCCAGAUUUGAUAAUAAUAUUUUUUAUUAUAUAAUAAUUAAAAAAAUUCCAUGAUACAUGGAUUGAUUUAAAAGUAUAAGUUAUUGAUAAAAAUAAAUUUAAUAUUGUAUUAUAAUAGAGACUUAAACACACAACCUCUAUUCACCAGCGUGCCUCUGAUAUUAUCUUUAAUCGCCUGGAUAUAACAUCUUCUGCUCACAAAUUAAUUUGUAUUUCUUUUGUAGAUGAAAACUUCAUGACUAACGGGGAUCUAGAAGAAACAAUAGAAUGGAUCCCGCCAAUGGAGAAAAUUAGCUUGAGAGACAUUCCAAGCUUUAUCAGAACAACAGACAAAGACGACAUAAUGCUCAACUUUUUCAUCGAACAAUUUGAAACAUUCCCCAAAGCCAAUGCAAUAAUCAUAAAUACAUUUGAUUCCUUAGAGCACCACGUGUUGGAAGCACUUUCCUCAAAACUCCCUCCCAUUUACCCAAUUGGUCCAAUCAACUCAUUAGUUGCCGAGUUAAUCAAAGACGACAAAGUCAAGGACAUCCGUUCAAAUCUAUGGGACGAGCAAUCAGAAUGCAUGAAAUGGCUUGAUUCACAACAACCCAACUCAGUAGUUUACGUCAACUUUGGAAGCGUAACUGUGAUGUCUCCUCAACACUUGGUGGAAUUUGCAUGGGGACUUGCCAAUAGUGAGAAGCCCUUCUUGUGGAUCGUAAGGCCGGAUCUAGUGGAAGGGGAGACGGCAUUGUUGCCGGCGGAGUUUUUGGUAGAAACGAAAGAAAGAGGGAUGUUGGCGGAUUGGUGUAACCAAGAAGAGGUUUUGAAACAUUCUUCGGUUGGAGGGUUUUUGACGCAUAGUGGAUGGAACUCGACGAUGGAGAGUAUUGUGGGAGGAGUGGCUAUGAUAUCGUGGCCGUUCUUUGCAGAACAACAAACCAAUUGUCGUUAUUGUAAGACGGAGUGGGGAAAUGGGUUGGAGAUUGAUAGCAAUGUGAGGAGGGAGGAUGUGGAGAAGCUUGUGAGGGAGUUGAUGGAAGGAGAAAAGGGU
rnacentral:lncRNA from 1 species